CGGCGAGUGAAGCGGCAACAGCUCAAAUUUGAAAUCUGGCUCUCGGGCCCGAGUUGUAAUUUGUAGAGGAUACUUUUGAUGCGGUGCCUUCCGAGUUCCCUGGAACGGGACGCCAUAGAGGGUGAGAGCCCCGUCUGGUUGGAUGCCAAAUCUCUGUAAAGUUCCUUCGACGAGUCGAGUAGUUUGGGAAUGCUGCUCUAAAUGGGAGGUAUAUGUCUUCUAAAGCUAAAUACCGGCCAGAGACCGAUAGCGCACAAGUAGAGUGAUCGAAAGAUGAAAAGCACUUUGAAAAGAGAGUUAAAAAGUACGUGAAAUUGUUGAAAGGGAAGCGUUUAUGACCAGACUUGGGCUUGGUUAAUCAUCUGGGGUUCUCCCCAGUGCACUUUUCCAGUCCAGGCCAGCAUCAGUUUUCCCCGGGGGAUAAAGACUUCGGGAAUGUGGCUCUCUUCGGGGAGUGUUAUAGCCCGUUGUGUAAUACCCUGGGGGGGACUGAGGUUCGCGCAUCUGCAAGGAUGCUGGCGUAAUGGUCAUCAACGACCCGUCUUGAAACACGGACCAAGGAGUCGUCUUCGUAUGCGAGUGUUCGGGUGUCAAACCCCUACGCGUAAUGAAAGUGAACGCAGGUGAGAGCUUCGGCGCAUCAUCGACCGAUCCUGAUGUUCUCGGAUGGAUUUGAGUAAGAGCAUACGGGGCCGGACCCGAAAGAAGGUGAACUAUGCCUGUAUAGGGUGAAGCCAGAGGAAACUCUGGUGGAGGCUCGCAGCGGUUCUGACGUGCAAAUCGAUCGUCAAAUAUGGGCAUGGGGGCGAAAGACUAAUCGAACCUUCUA
rnacentral:rRNA from 1 species